rnacentral:rRNA from 1 species
UACGGAGGGGGCUAGCGUUGUUCGGAAUUACUGGGCGUAAAGCGCGCGUAGGCGGACCUGCAAGUCGGGGGUGAAAGCCCGAGGCUCAACCUCGGAACUGCCUUCGAUACUGCGGGUCUCGAGUCCGGGAGAGGUGAGUGGAAUUCCUAGUGUAGAGGUGAAAUUCGUAGAUAUUAGGAAGAACACCAGUGGCGAAGGCGGCUCACUGGCCCGGUACUGACGCUGAGGCGCGAAAGCGUGGGGGGCAAACAGG